rnacentral:misc_RNA from 2 species
CAGAGUUCAUGCCCUUCGGGGUAGAUCUCCCACCCUGUGUUAUCGUCACCUUUGUUGCUUUGGCGGGCCGCCCAGGCCUUGGCCCGGCUACCGGCUCCGGCUGGUAAGCGCCCGCCAGAGGACCCUAAACUCUUGAAUAUCAGUGUCGUCUGAGUACUAUAUAAUAGUUA